AAAGUCGUAACAAGGUCUCCGUAGGUGAACCUGCGGAGGGAUCAUUAUUGUGACUCUUUUUAUUGUCGACGAUUUUCUUGUGUCUGCGGCAGGGGGAGAGUCCUUGUAAGACCGCAGGUUUAUUUAUAUUCUACUUUUUGAAUUCAACCCAAAAAAAAAUCCAAAACUUUCAGCAACGGAUCUCUUGGCUCUG
rnacentral:misc_RNA from 1 species